CAGAUCUCCCCUCCACCCACAAAAUGCUUAAAAGGUAACUUCGGGAGGCUGAGGCAGGAGAAUGGCAUGAACCUGGGAGGUGGAGCCUGCAGUGAGCCAAGAUCAUGCCACUGCACUCCAGCCUGGGUGACAGAACAAGACUCCAUCAUCAUCAACAACAACAACAACAAAGAUAACUCUUUGUUCAGGGCUCAGUCCUUUGGAUGUUAAUCAGACUGGCCAGUGCACCUAAAUAAUUAAUAAAUAUCCUCCUGAACCCUAUCGGUCUCUGAUUCCUUGAAAAUCCUGCUACAUUUCUGGAGGCUCAUCGGAAUUGGAGUCGACAGAUUUACUGUCUCCUUUGCCUGUGGGACUAGAACCCUAGGGCCAGGGGAGACCUGGCAUCCAAGGUGCACUGUAGGGGAGCUUCAGCUGGACGGAAACUGACUCUUCCUGCAUCCUGGUGCCCUGCUCGGCAGUGCAACGGAACCAGUGACAGGGCUGCAGGACAAUACCAGCACUUCAGGAACUGUGCUGUUAAAGUUGCAGGUGUCACGCCUUGGAUUCACCAUAGCCGGCUAAAACCAGCGGCAGCAGUGACUCCCGAUGGCGACCAGUGGAGUAGCCAACAAGACCCAGAUCGCCCCACCCGAAUAGUCCUACGGUGAAACCCAACCACCAGUAAAGACAACUGUCCUGCUCUGACCACUCUGGAGGCUGCUCAGUCUAUGCACAGCUGAAGCUUGAGGAUCCUGCAAGCUCUACUCUGAUCACAUCGUGGAAGCUGACUAGUCUACGCACAGCCUAAGUUAAGAGGACCAUCUCCGGAUAAACACAGGAUGGAUUAACUAUUUUGAAAGCAAAGUAGUUACAAUCGAUAACAAAUGCAAGUGUGUGACCGAGGGAGUCCCAGCUGAGGCAGAGGAGAAACACGGAAAUGAGGAGGCCAAGUAACUAAAAGGUAAGCUCCAUCACUGCUCUUCUGUUACAGAACUUUUUUUGGUGUUGGCUACAUGUUUCUUCUAUCAGGUGAA